rnacentral:piRNA from 1 species
UCAAAUCUCUGAUUAUUGCCAGUGCCUUC